rnacentral:rRNA from 1 species
UACGUAGGGUGCGAGCGUUGUCCGGAUUUAUUGGGCGUAAAGGGCUCGUAGGCGGUCCAUCGCGUCGGGAGUGAAAAGCUGGGGCUCAACCCCAGUCCUGCUUCCGAUACGGGUGGACUAGAGGUAUGCAGGGGAGAACGGAAUUCCUGGUGUAGCGGUGAAAUGCGUAGAUAUCAGGAGGAACACCGGUGGUGUAGACGGCUCACUGGACCGUAACUGACGCUGAGACACGAAAGCGUGGGUAGCAAACAGG